rnacentral:rRNA from 1 species
AGUGAACGCUGGCGGUAGGCCUAACACAUGCAAGUCGAACGGCAGCACAGAAAGAGCUUGCUCUUACGGGUGGCGAGUGGCGGACGGGUGAGGAAUACAUCGGAAUCUACUUUUACGUGGGGGAUAACGUAGGGAAACUUACGCUAAUACCGCAUACGACCUACGGGUGAAAGCAGGGGAUCUUCGGACCUCGCGCGAUUGAAGGAGCCGAUGUCGGAUUAGCUAGUUGGCGGGGUAAAGGCCCACCAAGGCGACGAACCGUAGCUGGUCUGAGAGGAUGAUCAGCCACACUGGAACUGAGACACGGUCCAGACUCCUACGGGAGGCAGCAGUGGGGAAUAUUGGGCAAUGGGCGCAAGCCUUAUCCAGCCAUACCGCGUGGGUGAAGAAGGCCUUCGGGUUGUAAAGCCCUUUUGUUGGGAAAGAAAAGCAGCAGGUUAAUACCCCGCUGUUCUGACGGUACCCAAAGAAUAAGCACCGGCUAACUUCGUG